ACCCGGCUAGCUCAGUCGGUAGAGCACGAGACUUUUAAUCUCGGGGUCACGGGUUCGUGCCCCACGUUGGGAA
rnacentral:tRNA from 1 species